rnacentral:rRNA from 1 species
AACGAACGCUGGCGGCAGGCUUAACACAUGCAAGUCGAACGCCCCGCAAGGGGAGUGGCAGACGGGUGAGUAACACGUGGGAACGUACCUUUCGGUUCGGAAUAACUUGGGGAAACUCAAGCUAAUACCGGAUACGCCCUUACCGGGAAAGGUUUACCGCCGAAAGAUCGGCCCGCGUCUGAUUAGCUAGUUGGUGAGGUAAUGGCUCACCAAGGCGACGAUCAGUAGCUGGUCUGAGAGGAUGAUCAGCCACAUUGGGACUGAGACACGGCCCAAACUCCUACGGGAGGCAGCAGUGGGGAAUAUUGGACAAUGGGCGCAAGCCUGAUCCAGCCAUGCCGCGUGAGUGAUGAAGGCCCUAGGGUUGUAAAGCUCUUUUACCUGGGAAGAUAAUGACGGUACCAGGAGAAUAAGCCCCGGCUAACUUCGUGCCAGCAGCCGCGGUAAUACGAAGGGGGCUAGCGUUGUUCGGAUUUACUGGGCGUAAAGCGCACGUAGGCGGAUCAUUAAGUCAGGGGGUGAAAUCCCGAGGCUCAACCUCGGAACUGCCUUUGAUACUGGUGAUCUUGAGUCCGGGAGAGGUGAGUGGAACUGCGAGUGUAGAGGUGAAAUUCGUAGAUAUUCGCAAGAACACCAGUGGCGAAGGCGGCUCACUGGCCCGGAACUGACGCUGAGGUGCGAAAGCGUGGGGAGCAGACAGGAUUAGAUACCCUGGUAGUCCACGCCGUAAACGAUGGAUGCUAGCCGUUGGACAGCUUGCUGUUCAGUGGCGCAGUUAACGCUUUAAGCAUCCCGCCUGGGGAGUACGGUCGCAAGAUUAAAACUCAAAGGAAUUGACGGGGGCCCGCACAAGCGGUGGAGCAUGUGGUUUAAUUCGAGGCAACGCGCAGAACCUUACCAGCUUUUGACAUGUCGCGUAUGGGUUCCAGAGAUGGAGUCCUUCAGUUCGGCUGGCGCGAACACAGGUGCUGCAUGGCUGUCGUCAGCUCGUGUCGUGAGAUGUUGGGUUAAGUCCCGCAACGAGCGCAACCCACGUCCCUAGUUGCCAUCAUUCAGUUGGGCACUCCAGGGAGACUGCCGGUGAUAAGCCGAGAGGAAGGUGUGGAUGACGUCAAGUCCUCAUGGCCCUUACGGGCUGGGCUACACACGUGCUACAAUGGCGGUGACAAUGGGACGCGAAGGGGUGACCCUUAGCAAAUCUCAAAAAGCCGUCUCAGUUCGGAUUGCACUCUGCAACUCGAGUGCAUGAAGGUGGAAUCGCUAGUAAUCGUAGAUCAGAACGCUACGGUGAAUACGUUCCCGGGCCU